UGUACCCCGGGGUUGGAGGAACACAGGCCUCCCCAGGCCCCAGGAUUCAGCCUUACUGGACUACCAUCUCUUUCCAAGGGCAGGGCAUGGGGACCUGGAAUGAGAGCAGCCCCAGUUAGAGCAGCCAAAGAUGGCUGAAGAGAGCUGUGCCAGCGUCUAACUGUGACAUCCGGGAAGCAGAAAGAGAAGACCUGUAAGUUCAAGGCCGGAAUAAAAGAAAGAAUAACCCCAGUCGAUAAGGACCUGGCUAUAGAAACUGUGACCACGAGACACCAUCCAGCAACGACAAGAACCACAGCAACAUGCAUCCAUGUGGGCCACGGGGACACUACCAAAGUCUCUGCACGUUUUCUCUAUUCAUUUUCCGCUAUGAAAAUAAAUUACAAAGGCAGUCUAGGUUA